UUUGCCGCCGGCGCUGACUACUGGUCCCUGUCCCCGGCCGAUAGCAGUCGGCCUGAGGAUCCCGCGUUUUGCAAGGUGCCUCGGAAUGCCCGCUUCCUUUGGAGCCCCUUCCACCAGAGCAGACCCGAACCCAAACCCAGGUUGGACCCCGGGUCUUUCCUGGGCUGGGAGGAGGAAGCGGCAACGCUGCCUGCAGGGCAGAGAACGGAAUGGAAACCCCGGGGAGGGCAGUUUCCUCCUCUGGCAGGGAGUUACAACUAAUAGCGAGAUUCCCGCACAGUACACUGAAGCACCCGGAGAUCAAACACAGAGGUUGCAUAGCUAAUAAGUGGAGACCUGAGAUUUGAACCCAGACAAUGAGAGUCUUGAACAAUUACUCUUGACUGCCUUUCAAGCAAGAGGAAAGAACAUUCCAGGAGGAAGGAAUAGCAGAAACAGAGGGGAAAACAGAGCAUGACACAGAAAUUGCCAUGAGAUGGAGAAUAAUCAGUCGUCAGAAGAAAAUAGAAGACCAACUCUUACAGCUGAGUAGAAGGGAGGCAUAUGUAAGGUUUGUUUCAUUUCUCAUUUCCUCUUUGAGUGAUGCAAUGUAACACCACAAUUCAAUGUUAUCAAGGGGGUGGCAUUUCACAGGAAGGACUCCUAGCGUGGCGGAUAGAAGGUUCCAUAAGCCAGAUUUGCUACUGAUGACGCUAGCAAUUCAGUGACAUUAGAAAAAAAAGUCAAGUAUUAUUUCCAAAAGGGAUAGGCACCUUUGAGGAAAUAAUAUUGCCUUUUCUUUGACUUUCAUGCUCCAGUUCGUCCCCAACAGAUAGACGCAGUGAAGAACCUGUAUCCGUACCCAGAGCAACAUGUUUCCUUUAAUGUCAGUCCCAGGUGAAAUGAAACUAGCCAGGAGGAACAUGGCAGUCUCUCUGAUUUUAGUAAUCAGUCGUUCUCAAAAAACCAGACCUGUAUUGUUGUUAUUCCAGCAAGUUGGCCGUUUACAAAUAGAUCAUCUCCAAAAUUUUCAUUUGUAUAUCUGGAAUAGAGAGUGUCAGGUAUAGGUGCCCAUAUAUGUAUUAUAAAAAUGAUAGGCUCCCAGACCAGCCAUACACAUCUCUUUCAUUCAUAUUAUGCCAAUGGUGUUGGGAGAUUCAAAGAAGUAUGAAGGGUUCAAAGAGUAGUAGUCUGCUUUGGGAAGAUAAUCUGUGGCAUAAAAUCCAAAAACAAUCACCUUAUGAGUUCUGCUACUUUCAGGAAAGAAGGAAG